GUCUGACAUGGCCCGACGGUGGCAAGUCUUGCCCCGACGUACGGCCGUGGAGCCAUGAC
rnacentral:ncRNA from 1 species